GAUGAACGCUGGCGGCGUGCCUAAUACAUGCAAGUCGAGCGAACGGACGAGAAGCUUGCUUUUCUGAUGUUAGCGGCGGACGGGUGAGUAACACGUGGAUAACCUACCUAUAAGACUGGGAUAACUUCGGGAAACCGGAGCUAAUACCGGAUAAUAUUUUGAACCGCAUGGUUCAAAAGUGAAAGACGGUCUUGCUGUCACUUAUAGAUGGAUCCGCGCUGCAUUAGCUAGUUGGUAAGGUAACGGCUUACCAAGGCAACGAUGCAUAGCCGACCUGAGAGGGUGAUCGGCCACACUGGAACUGAAACACGGUCCAGACUCCUACGGGAGGCAGCAGUAGGGAAUCUUCCGCAAUGGGCGAAAGCCUGACGGAGCAACGCCGCGUGAGUGAUGAAGGUCUUCGGAUCGUAAAACUCUGUUAUUAGGGAAGAACAUAUGUGUAAGUAACUGUGCACAUCUUGACGGUACCUAAUCAGAAAGCCACGGCUAACUACGUG
rnacentral:rRNA from 1 species